UAUUCACUGAGCUGCUCUCUGCCAGGGGA
rnacentral:piRNA from 2 species